CACGGAGGGGGCAAGCGUUGUCCGGAAUCAUUGGGCGUAAAGAGCGUGUAGGCGGCUCGAUAAGUCUGCUGUGAAAGUCCAGGGCUCAACCCUGGAAGGCCGGUGGAAACUGUCGGGCUAGAGUCCGGAAGAGGCGAGUGGAAUUCCCGGUGUAGCGGUGAAAUGCGCAGAUAUCGGGAGGAACACCAAUGGCGAAGGCAGCUCGCUGGGACGGUACUGACGCUGAGGUGCGAAAGCGUGGGGAGCAAACAGG
rnacentral:rRNA from 1 species